GAGACCAUCCUGGCUAACACGGUGAAACCUCAUCUCUACUGAAAAUACAAAAAAUUAGCCGGGCAUAGUGGCACGCGCCUGUAAUCCCAGCUACUUGGGAGGCUGAGGCAGGAGGAUCACUUGAACCAGGGAGACAGAGGUUGCAGUGAGCCGAGAUCACGCCACUGCACUGCCUGGGUGACAGACUGAGACUCUGUCUCAAAAAAAGAAAAUGCAAAACCCAGCUGGGCGUGGUGGCUCACACCUGUAAUCCUGGCACUCUGGGUGGCAGAGGCAGGAGGAUCACCUGGGCCCAGGAGUUCAAGACCAGCCUGGGCAAUAUGGUGAGACCCUGUCUCUAAAGAAAUUUUAAAAUAUCAGCCAAGUGGCCAGGUGCAGUGGUUCAUGC
rnacentral:lncRNA from 10 species